rnacentral:misc_RNA from 1 species
UCGGUUACACCAGGGUCACACGAUUGGUCAGUGACAUUCGUAGUGUAAUGAGUGAUAAGAUGUUGCGGAAAACAGAGAGAAACCUCGGAAAAUCUGUGUAAUUCUUUGCCGCUAUGUAUCUUAUACCAAAUAAUUAAUAUUAAGAAUCUGUCCCGACUAUGAAAUAGAUUAGUCAAGGCUCGUUGCAGCGGUGUAAAAUGACUGAACCAACUGACGUUUCGUCGUCAGUCUAGGAUUAGAGUUGUCAAAUAGAAAACAAAAGCGCGGCAUAACCAAGAAAGAACUUAUCCUUCGCCAAAGAUUCUGCGAAUUAAUAAACUUGAGUAAGGUAACCCAGAGUAUGAUUCCUCAUUUCUUUGAACAUUAUUGUACGUGCACCUGUCAUCUCGAUCCUGAUCACUUAACCAACAUAGUAUAAACCAUAGCUUGUGAAAUAAAUAAAUGGCAGCUGCAAUGGAUACUGAUAGUGAUUGGAUCUCUGAGACGAUCCUUGGCUCUGGCGGUUUUGGGAUCGUUGAGCUUUGGAGAAAUACUCAUACCGGGGACAAAAUAGCAAUAAAGAAGUGUAAAUCUGGUGAUGCUCAAUUAACUGAAAGGCAGAAGGAACGAUGGGUGCAUGAGGUUAAUAAAAUGAAUCAAUUGAAACACCAAAAUAUUGUCGCUACUAGACCUUUGCCAGAUGAAUUGAAAAACGUUGAAGGGCCACUGCCUGUACUUUGCAUGGAAUACUGUUCAAAAGGAGAUCUCAGACUUGUAUUAACUAAGAGUGAAAAUUGGUGUGGCUUGGCAGAACCAGAUGCCAUGCAAAUAUUCGGUGAUGUCGCUAGUGCCAUCAGUUACCUUCACUGUCAAAAAAUAACACACAGAGAUUUAAAGCCUGAAAAUGUAGUGUUGCAAGAGAGGAAUAAUAAGGUAAUCUACAAAUUAAUUGAUCUUGGUUACGCCAAGGAACUGGGACACGAUAGUAUCCACGCUUCUGCUGUUGGAACGUUACAUUAUGUUGCUCCAGAAAUAUUGUGGGCAGAGAAAUAUACUUGUUCUGUUGAUUACUGGAGCUUAGGAAUUCUGUUUUAUGAAGUAAUAACUGGCUCAAGACCAUUUUUGCCAAACGAAACAAGUCCUAUAGAAUGGAGGAGACACGUCUCACGUAAAUCAAACGAUGAUAUAUGUGUCCAAUACGAAGAUGGCAGCGUAGUUUAUAAGCAAGAUAUUCAAGAUUCCACUGAUAUAUCACCAUGCAUCAGAAAUGCUUUGAAAGAUUGGUUCAGAACUGUCCUACAAUGGGAUCCAAAAAAACGUGGGCGGCAAUGCCAGAAAAAUGGUACCGAAAUCGUGGUUGUAUUUUCCAUGCUUGCACAAAUUUUAUCCAAGAAGGUGAUUCAUGUCUUCUGUGUACCACAUUAUCGUAUAUAUCACUACGAAAUAUCGAGUGAUACCACUCUUGAGCAACUGAGAUGUUUGAUCGAGCAAGAUACUCAAAUAAGUAUUUCUAGUCAAGAAUUACUUGACCCUGAUGGUGAUCUUCUGGAGGAUGAUGGGAUUAUAAAAUUAAGCGACCUACGAGGUAGGUUACUAACGCUUUCGAAAAAAGAAAGUGUGCUUAGCGAGAUACCUGAUCCGGAAGUGCCGUAUUUGGUUAGAAAAAUCAUUGAAGCACCAAGAAUGACAAUGACCAAAUAUGAAUUGCAGCGGUGCUAUUCCGCUGCAAUAUUUUUCGUAAAAAGAGAAGCUCAACUGUUUCGAUCUUACAUAUUGGCUCUGUGUGCGAAAAUCGAUCUAGUCAACUCCAAAUUCGAUACUAUAUCAUCAAAGAAAGAUAACAUGGCCUCAGGCUUCAACUUACUCCAAGAAGAAUUUCACUCAAUGUGUGAAUUAAUACAAAAUGAUGGAACUAACGUCUUAGACACAUUGAAGAACGAAAUUCAAAAUCUAACACAGAAGCUGCAAUUUCUCUCAGAAACGGUCCAUGCUCUCAAAGCAAAAUGCGAUAAAGUUUUACAUGUACGAAACAUUUUAACCAAGCUUGGAGAUAUUGAAUGGACAACAGAAUACAGAGAACUUUUAGAAAAGGCACAAGGUAUCGUUGAAAACUCUAAAAUACUCUCUGAGAAGAUUAAGCACCAACCAGUUCGUAUGGCCAAGUUUAUAUUUGAACUUCUGAAAUGUCGAAAAAAUCUAAUGAAUAAUGAACAACUCAUCAAUAUAAAAAGUGAAAUUGAUCAUGUGUCGACGGCUCAGGCAGCAAAAGAUCUCUCAAUGCAAGAAAAGUAUAUUGAAUCUGCUGUUGCAUUGGUUGGUGUUUACCGAGAACAAAUUUCAAAUUUGUGUAAGAAAUGGGAAAAUUACAAGCAAGUGGCCAGUUUUCCCAAAAAUUUAGAAAGCAUGGAUGUAGAAUGUAACGUUGAUGAUAACCGUGAAUUGGAAUCUUCCGUACGAAGUCUGAAUGAAGAAGAUGGUUUGACCAGUGAUAAUGUUAUCUAUGAUAACUUGGUAAUACGAUACCUGAUGCUCGACGUUAUUUCUGAAACAUACGAAAAGUUUAAACAAAUAAUGAACCUGAAUCCAUAAAGAGAUGAAAUCAAACAGAAAAAAUAAUUUUAAAACUUACGUUAAAAGUAUAUAAAACUACGUUGUAUUUUACUCAAAUAUUUUAUUACCGAUUUUUCAUAAAAUACAUAAUUGCUAGAUGAUAACGUAUACAAACAGAAGACGUGAUUUAUGAUUGUGAAUAUUUAUCCACAACUAUGGAGUUUUUAUAAC